GCGCGUGGAGCACCUGGCAUUCGCUCCGGUGCCCGGGACAGAACCGACAGCCCCUCGUGUCCGCGCGCCGUGGCCCCUGGACUCCCUCUAUGGCACCGUGAGACGAUUCCUCUCCGUGGUUCAGCUUAACCCCUUCCCGGCAGAGUUGAUAAAGACCCUCCUAAAUGAUCCAUCUUCUGUGAAGACAGAUGAGGGUGAAGACGGAGCACAAGGCCAUGGCCUGUGAACGUGGCACCCUCAUGACCUUCCUGCUGCUGACCACCCUCAUGCUUCUGAUCGGUAUGGUCUGUGCUUUUGCUACUAACCAGUUCACACACAGUCAGACGGGCCCCAGUGUGGAAGCGGUCCCCGAGACCCUGCUCAGCCUAAGAGGCUUGGUCUCUGACGUUCCUAAAAAGCUGCAGGCCGUGGCUGAUCAGUUCUCCUUGCCUCAGAAGCAAGUCUCAAAGGAUCUGGAUG
rnacentral:lncRNA from 1 species